rnacentral:rRNA from 1 species
AAAUUUGAAAUCUGGCCCCGUGGCCCGAGUUGUAAUUUGGAGAGGGUGCUCAGCGUCGCCGCCAGUCAAAGUCCCUUGGAACGGGACGUCACAGAGGGUGAGAAUCCCGUCCGUGGCUGGCGGCCCGCGCCGUGCGAGGCUCCCUCCAAGAGUCGAGUUGUUUGGGAAUGCAGCUCUAACCGGGAGGUAAAUUCCUUCUAAGGCUAAAUAUCCGCCCGAGACCGAUAGCGCACAAGUAGAGUGAUCGAAAGGUGAAAAGCACUUUGAAAAGAGGGUGAGAUAGCACGUGAAAUUGUUAAAAGGGAAGCGCUUGCGACUAGAGCGGACCUCGGGGGCUCAGCCCGUCCUCGGACGGGCGCACUCCCCCGGGGCCCGGCCAGCAUCAGCUCGGCCGGCCGGAUAAAGGCCGCGGGAACGUGGCACCCUCGGGUGUGUUAUAGCCCGCGGCAUAAUGCGGCCCGGCCGGGCUGAGGCCAGCGCUCU